UAGGACGCAAUCAGUGAAGUACUAGAUUGAAAGUAGUGAGCUGGAUUUUUGUAUGGUGAGAUGAUCAGUUCUCCAUUUCUGCAAUGAAACGGUGCAAACAGCGUGGGUUAUAUGGUUUCUUACCUAAUUUGAUGCUGAUUGAGCAAAAGUUUGGGUAACUGUGUUGUUAUAUUAUUUAUUUCUUGCAACUUCAACAACACAGUUACCCAAACUUUUGCUCAAACAGCAUCAAAUUAGGCCAGAAAUCAUAUAACCCACGCUGUUUGCACCAUUUCAUUGCAGAAAUGGAGAACUGAUCAUCUCACCAUACAAAAAUCCAGCUCACUACUUUCAAUCUAGUACUUCACUGAUUGCUUCCUAUUCUCAUUACUAAAAAAGAUUUCUCAUUAAUUCAGAUAUCUCAUUCGUGAUGAGCAAACGAGGUAAAACUCAACUUUGCGUCGAUGGAUUUCUCUACAUGCGCGUGAAGGCUAGCGACGAACUGCAGUACUGGUCGUGCAAUCAGUUCAGGGUGCUAGGCUGCACGGCUCGUGCCACAACUGGAAGGGGGAAAAGAGACGGCAAACCGAUCAUCAAGCUGCGCGGCUUUCACAACCACCGGAUAAUUAUGCAGCGUCGAAAACCUGGCGAAUGUGCUAUAUUGAAAGAGCAAUACGCUCGUGAACGAGACGGGUUACCAGAUAGGGUUAAACAUGGUGUACCAGAACAAACGAAGCCGUUAUCAAUACCAGCGGUAUCACAACCGUCGCUUUUACCGAUGGCACAGUGCUUUUUGAAGCAAGAAAAAUAAAUGUGAAUUGAUGACGUAUCUUUUUCGGUAUUCUAUUACUUCGUCGCUUAUAUAUCGAGCUGAUAUAAUGCGAAGUACCGUGUCAUUUCGGGAGGUCUGUAGUAUGCAAUAGAUAUUAUUAUCAAUAAACUUUAAAACGUUGAGUUAUACUUAAGAUGUUGCGAUCAGGGUUUACAAGAAAAGUUAAUAAUCACACUGAAUCGCGUCGUGUCAUAAACGAUAAAUAUGCACAAGUUGUAACAACUUUGAAAAACUAUUGAAAAACUAUAAACCAUAAUAUGUAGAGUGAAACCUCAUAUUUUUGUUCUUAAUGGAAAAAAAAUGACUGUUGUAGUGCUACAGAUAAAGAAAAAACAAUCACAUUAUUUUCGCUCAAAGCUAUUUCUAAAAAAUAUGCAACGUGUUUCGAAGAAUUUUCACCGAAUCGUACACACAUUUGACAUUAUUACAAAUCUCGUUGCAGUUGUCUGUCCAGAGGAAAUUUCUUUUGUAUUGAAUUACCGAGGAACGCAGAACAUGGUGAUUCGGAACCACUUCUUCGUUCGCAACAAAAUUUCCCAACGGUAUCUUUUCUGGAACUGUGCCCAGAAGAAAGCUCUAGGCUGUCGCGUUCGAGCUACAAUGCCACGCCCACCCAACAAAGGACCUGUCAUAUGCCGAGGGGAACACAAUCAUGAAGUGGUUUCCGAACGACGAAAGCAUGGCGCUCUCAGAGAAUUACUGAACAAACGAAAGCUAGAUAAAGAGCAGUCGAGUACAAAGAGAUGUAGAAAAUAGAGAAUAAAUCAAAUUCAGUUGAAAGUGUUUAUCUUAUGUCUUUUUAGAUUUGAAUAUCUUAAUUUUUCAUAUAGGAGAUUCAUUAUGUAUUGAUGUAUUACAGAUAACUAUAUCAGCGAUAAUGCAUCCGAUAUGGAUAUAUGCUACAUGGUGACAGCCCGUGGGACAACUCAGCUGGUUGUUGAAGGAUAUCCGUUUACCAAACUCAACGAACGGGCUCAUAUGACGUUCUGGGCGUGCUGUCAAGCUAGACCCUUGAAGUAGGUAAAGUGUAGUACUAGAUCAGCAUCCAAUUUCGUCAACUUCAUUCUCGUUUACAGUUGCAAAGCCCGGGCCACAACAUAUCGCGCUUCGAGGGAUGGAAAAAUCACGUUCAGAGGAGAGCAUAACCAUGGCAAAAUCCAUGAACGGCGCAAAACGGGUGCGCUCAGAAAACUACUCGAGCAACGUGACAAAGAGAAAACUCGACAAAAAUUGUUAAAAUCAGUGGGGAUUGUCUAUGAAUAAAUGAGCCACAUGAAAUGAUGCUGUCUUUUGUCUAUCGUGAAGUAAAAAUGGCAUCAUUGCUUGAUUCUAAAUGUCAUAAGUAGUGUUGCCAAAUUUUCUAAUCUGAUUCAUGGUUUUAAAUAAACUAAAAUUGAGAUGUGUUUAGAAAUGUAGACACAAGGUUGCGAUCAUUCAUUUGCAAGGAUUUACAUUCAUUUGCUAUUAUCUCAGUUCAGAAGCAUGCUAUCGAAAAACAAUGUAUGGAUGAAUUUAACCUUGCAGUUUUAUCUGAAAGUUUGCCGAAUAACAUUGGGGUCGCACACGCAUUCCAAGGUCGUGAGCGAGCUGUGAAGGCAACUCUCCACGCGGUGAAUGUAAAUUUCAUUCACGCUGUGGAAAGUUGCCUUCACAGCUCGCUCACGACCUUGGAAUGCGUGUGCGACCCCAAUGUUAUUCGGCAAACUUUCAGAUAAAACU